CAAGUGGCUCUCAUCAGAAAGUCUAUCAGACACCCGAAUAAGUACAAUCUGUCAUACAAUUCUUUUUCUUCUUUUCGAAAAGAAUUUGCUUGAGUCACUUCUUUACGUAAACAUUUUUAUAACAUUUAACAAGAACAAACGAAAGGUAUGAAUUGGCUAAAAGUUUAUCGCUUCGUUAUAAUCACAGAUUCGGUCGUUUCGGUAUUGAAAUUAGCGCUUUUCGUCUAUUUAAUCAUUAUUGGAAUACAAUGGAAACAGGCAUUCGAUAAAACCGAAAAAUACGACUCAUCAUAUGUGACGGAAUUACUUAUAGUGUCGCAUUUCAUGGCAACAACGCUUCUGCUGAUCUUAAUUUUGCUCAGAUUGAUGACAAAUUAUAACCAAUAUCGAUAUGACCACCAAGGAAGCCAUAAAACGGAUGCAAGAAGGUGUUUUAAAGUUUGCUGUUAUGGUUUCGGUUGGUUCAUUUUGAACAUUUUAAGUAUCGCAUUCUUCAUUAUAUCGAUUCGGAUACGAAGGUCGACUUCGAAGUGGAUAAACGAAGGAGUUUCAAUGAGCUUUCUAUGCUGGGAUGUCAUCAUCCUUUGCAUUAUGGUCAUAUUUAAGUCCUUGAUGAGUAAAAUAACCUACCCACAUGUCGUACAGUAUGAGAAGCAACAUUCACCAACGGAAGAAAUUAGUGCGUGCGAGAACACAAAAUUCAAUUCAGAUUGUCGCAGUAACUCCAGGCUGUCAAUUAUUCGAGAUAAAUCAACAGAUUUGGCUUAACAAUAGAAAGAAAUGCGAAAUUUUGUGUUUGUUUGAAUGAAACGAACUGAAAAAGUGCCGGAGAGUGUCCCGAAAUGGUCGUUCUCUUACACAGUUACAAAUCACAAUACAUUUUGAAAAUCGAUGAAUAAAUUACAAAAAUACUUACUCGA